rnacentral:rRNA from 1 species
GACGGAGGAUGCAAGUGUUAUCCGGAAUCACUGGGCGUAAAGCGUCUGUAGGUGGUUUAAAAAGUCCACUGUUAAAAAUUGAAGCUUAACUUCAAAGAUGCCGUGGAAACUUUUAAACUUGAGGAUGAUAUGGGGUAGAGGGAAUUUCCAGUGGAGCGGUGAAAUGCGUAGAUAUUGGAAAGACCACCAAUGGCGAAGGCACUCUACUGGGCCAUUACUGACACUGAGAGACGAAAGCUAGGGGGAGCGAAUGGG